rnacentral:sRNA from 1 species
UAGUUUUCCGUCUAGGUCAGACAUUGGU